UGGUAUAUCAACAUUGUAUAACCAGGCCCUAACUUUUGGUGGGCCAGUUACUAUUGUUUGUGGAUGGCCCAUAAUUGGAUUAAUGACACUUAUUGUGGGCCUUUCUAUGGCUGAAAUAUGUUCUGCUUAUCCAACUUCUGCUGGGCUUUAUUAUUGGAGUGCUAAAUUGGCUGGAAACAAGAUUGGCCCAUUUGCUGCUUGGA
rnacentral:misc_RNA from 1 species